UAGGGAAUCUUCCGCAAUGGACGCAAGUCUGACGGAGCAACGCCGCGUGAGUGAAGAAGGAUUUCGGUUCGUAAAACUCUGUUGUUAGAGAAGAACAGCGCAUAGAGUAACUGUUAUGCGUGUGACGGUAUCUAACCAGAAAGCCACGGCUAACUACGUGCCAGCAGCCGCGGUAAUACGUAGGUGGCAAGCGUUGUCCGGAUUUAUUGGGCGUAAAGCGCGCGCAGGCGGACUAGCCAGUCAGUCUUAAAAGUUCGGGGCUUAACCCCGUGAUGGGAUUGAAACUACUAGUCUAGAGUAUCGGAGAGGAAAGUGGAAUUCCUAGUGUAGCGGUGAAAUGCGUAGAUAUUAGGAAGAACACCAGUGGCGAAGGCGACUUUCUGGACGAACACUGACGCUGAGGCGCGAAAGCCAGGGGAGCGAACGGG
rnacentral:rRNA from 1 species